GCCGGGCGUGGUGGCACACACCUGUAAUCCCAGCUACUCGGGAGGCUGAGGCAGGAGACUUGCUUGAGCCCGGGAGGCAGAGAUUGCAGUGAGCAGAGAUCUUGCCACUGCACUCCAGCCUGGCCGACAGAGCGAGACUCUGUCUCAA
ensembl:misc_RNA Metazoa_SRP Metazoan signal recognition particle RNA